UACAAGCCCCCAACGUUGUAAUACAAGAUCAGAUAAAAACCAACAACUUUGUAAUACAAGAUGAGGGCUACACAUGUUCUACUCCUAGUCCUUGCCCUCUUCAUGCUAUCCCCAGAUCUGGCGAAGGCUAAGCUGCACUGCACGGAUUUCAUCAUAGUCAACCAGUGCGACGUGGACGAGAUCACAUGCCAACAUUACUGCUACAGCCAGUUCAAUGGAACCGGCAAGUGCAUCCCCAACAAAGGAUGCCAGUGUCAUUUCUGCUAUGCAACUCCACCCCAGCCAUCGCCUGCUAGCAGCUCCUAGUCGUAGUUUUCUCUGUAAUUUUCUGUUUCUUCAAGGUCAAUGUACAACAGUUAUGAACAUGAUUCGUUUCUAGUGCAACAACUAUGGCGCCAUAAUUAAUUACAUGUACUGUGGCCUAUACUGCCAAGUUAUAUGUUAAUGCAAUGUCUGUUUUGCUUUA